rnacentral:rRNA from 1 species
UACGUAGGUGGCGAGCGUUGUCCGGAAUUACUGGGCGUAAAGGGCGUGUAGGCGGAUAUUUAAGUCAGGUGUGUAAUCUCCAGGCUUAACCUGGAGUUUGCAUUUGAUACUGGGUAUCUUGAGUGCAGGAGAGGACAGUGGAAUUCCUAGUGUAGCGGUGAAAUGCGUAGAUAUUAGGAGGAACACCAGUGGCGAAGGCGGCUGUCUGGACUGUAACUGACGCUGAGGCGCGAAAGCGUGGGGAGCAAACAGG